CUGGGAGGACCAUCUCCUAAGGCUAAAUACUCUCUAGUGACCGAUAGUGAACCAGUACCGUGAGGGAAAGGUGAAAAGCACCCCGGAAGGGGAGUGAAAUAGAACCUGAAACCGUGUGCUUACAAGUAGUCAGAGCCCGUUAAUGGGUGAUGGCGUGCCUUUUGUAGAAUGAACCGGCGAGUUACGAUUUGAUGCAAGGUUAAGCAGUAAAUGUGGAGCCGUAGCGAAAGCGAGUCUGAAUAGGGCGUUUAGUAUUUGGUCGUAGACCCGAAACCAGGUGAUCUACCCUUGGUCAGGUUGAAGUUCAGGUAACACUGAAUGGAGGACCGAACCGACUUACGUUGAAAAGUGAGCGGAUGAACUGAGGGUAGCGGAGAAAUUCCAAUCGAACCUGGAGAUAGCUGGUUCUCUCCGAAAUAGCUUUAGGGCUAGCCUCAAGUGAUGAUUAUUGGAGGUAGAGCACUGUUUGGACGAGGGGCCCCUCUCGGGUUACCGAAUUCAGACAAACUCCGAAUGCCAAUUAAUUUAACUUGGGAGUCAGAACAUGGGUGAUAAGGUCCGUGUUCGAAAGGGAAACAGCCCAGACCACCAGCUAAGGUCCCAAAAUAUAUGUUAAGUGGAAAAGGAUGUGGCGUUGCCCAGACAACUAGGAUGUUGGCUUAGAAGCAGCCAUCAUUUAAAGAGUGCGUAAUAGCUCACUAGUCGAGUGACACUGCGCCGAAAAUGUACCGGGGCUAAACAUAUUACCGAAGCUGUGGAUUGUCCUUUGGACAAUGGUAGGAGAGCGUUCUAAGGGCGUUGAAGCAUGAUCGUAAGGAC
rnacentral:rRNA from 1 species